AUUGAACGCUGGCGGCAGGCCUAACACAUGCAAGUCGAGCGGCAGCGCGGGGCAACCUGGCGGCGAGCGGCGAACGGGUGAGUAACGCGUAGGAAUCUACCCAGUAGCGGGGGAUAGCCCGGGGAAACUCGGAUUAAUACCGCAUACGCCCUAAGGGGAAAGCAGGGGAUCGUAAGACCUUGCACUAUUGGAAGAGCCUGCGUUGGAUUAGCUAGUUGGUAGGGUAAAGGCCUACCAAGGCGACGAUCCAUAGCUGGUCUGAGAGGAUGAUCAGCCACACCGGAACUGAGACACGGUCCGGACUCCUACGGGAGGCAGCAGUGGGGAAUAUUGGACAAUGGGGGGCAACCCUGAUCCAGCCAUGCCGCGUGUGUGAAGAAGGCCUCGGUGUAAGACACUUUAAGUGGGGAGGGAAGGCGUCGUACGUGAAUAUCGUGCGGGA
rnacentral:rRNA from 1 species